rnacentral:rRNA from 1 species
UACGUAGGGAGCAAGCGUUUGUCCGGAAUCAUUGGGCGUAAAAGCGCGCGUAGGUGGCCACAUAAGUCCGUUGUGAAAGUCAAAGGCUCAACCUUUGAAAGCCGAUGGAUACUGUGUGGCUAGAGUACGGAAGAGGCGAGUGGAAUUCCUGGUGUAGCGGUGGAAUGCGCAGAUAUCAGGAGGAACACCAAUAGCGAAGGCAGCUCGCUGGGACGUUACUGACACUGAGGCGCGAAAAGCGUGGGGGAGCGAACAGG